AAUUUUUGCAGGGAUAAGAAAAGGAGCUGCUGAUGUUGUUUUCCUGCUCCCGCCAGCUCUGUGCGCGAGGCAUCUUCCCAAGAUCAGCAGCCUUCAUUCCUCUGGUGAGCAAAAAGCUUGAAGCGUGAUCCUCGCUGCUGGGGAAAUAAAUCUCUCCCCAAAUACCCAAAUCUCCCCAGUCUUCAUGCCCGCACAGCAGGAUUGGGAGCCCGCAGGACCAGCCGAGGGUGCCUACAGCUUGCCACCCUGCUUUCCUUCCCCUUAACCCUGCACAUCCCCAGCAGGACCCCUGCCUGCUGCACAUCCAGGAUUGCAUCCAGAUCCUUUGGAGCCAGCGGCCACACUAAAAGCGCAUGGGUUUUAGCUGGGAAGAUAUCAUUUUUAAAGUUUCAUGUAUUUGUGAGGAGCAUUAGUUAGACCCACAUUGUAUGCUUGCAGAUUUUAGGUAAAGAGGCAGACAUACACAAACAGCAGCGUAGCUGUGCCUAGAAAUGAAAUAUAAAUUAAACAUAAAUGUCACCAUUCUUAACAGAGCUUUAAGCCUACGGGGACACUUUUUAAAAGUCAGUAUAAUCUCUAUAUUAAGGUAUUUAGAAGAAUACUUUUAGGUGAUGAAAUUUAUAGAGCCAUUUAAUGAUUACCUGAUGGACAGACAGGCACACCAGAGGGUACAGCAUAAACAGCUACAAAGACCUUUCUUAAACUUUCAACUUUGCAUCUAAACUCUAUUUUUUUGAUGCUUUCUAAAAUAAUCUGGAAUUAAAACAGAUACUUUGAAAUCGAUACGGGUAGGUGGUUCCACUUCCCCUCUCGCCUUAGGGAAAGAAAGUCUAGUGAGGGAUUAAAUUAAGUUUUUUAAGGAAGUUUGAGAAAAGGUUCAAUUUUGAAACCCCGGAGAGCCUUCCUUAGGCUGAUUUAGGGGAAAAAGCUGAGUUUCUGCUUUCUCAGUAGCACUCGGUGACAUUUCUGCUGCUCAGCUGCUGGGGCAGCGUCUCCGCAGGCUGGGGGGUGCCCCCCCCCCCCCCCCCCAGCUUGGAGGUGCCUGAGCAAAUCUCCUGCAUAUCCAGCAUCCCAAAUAUCUCCCUGGGAGAGAGGGGCUGUAAAUGUGGCAGUGCUAACCACCAACAAUAAGUAGGGAAAUCUGAUUUAGUCUUGACAAGGGGCUCCCACAGAAGCUGCUCUUU
rnacentral:lncRNA from 1 species